rnacentral:sRNA from 1 species
AGGAGCUAUAAAAGGUGAAAAUCUCUUGCAUGGUUCUGUAGUAGCGAUGAGAGUAGUGAGAUCAUCAUCAACUAUGAU